CCAGAGGGUUGGGCGACCGCGUUGCAAGCUUGCUUGUACCGAGGAAAGUCCGGGCUCCACGAAACGACGGUGCCGGGUAACGCCCGGCGAGGGUGACCUCAGGGAAAGUGCCACAGAGAGCAGACGGCCUGGCUUCAUGCCCGGUUACGGUGAAAGGGUGCGGUAAGAGCGCACCGCGCGGCUGGUAACAGUCGCGGCAUGGCAAACCCCACCGGGAGCAAGACCGAAUAGGGACGGCGCAUGGGCUUUGUUUCGGCCCGUCGUCCGGGUUGGUUGCUAGAGGCGGUGCGCGAGCGUCGUCCUAGAGGAAUGGUCGCACAGCUCUUCGGGGCGGACAGAACCCGGCUUACAGACCCUCUGGCAUU
rnacentral:RNase_P_RNA from 1 species